rnacentral:rRNA from 1 species
UACGUAUGGUGCAAGCGUUAUCCGGAAUGACUGGGUGUAAAGGGAGCGUAGACGGUUGUACAAGUCUGAUGUGAAAGCCCACGGCUCAACUGUGGGAGUGCAUUGGAAACUGUAGAACUAGAGUAUCGGAGAGGCAAGUGGAAUUCCUAGUGUAGCGGUGAAAUGCGUAGAUAUUAGGAGGAACACCAGUGGCGAAGGCGGAUUGCUGGACAGUAACUGACGCUGAGGCGCGAAAGCGUGGGGAGCAAACAGG